GGACCCUGACGCUCCAUCCUACUCUGCCACGCCACCAAGCCCAUCGCUCCUCGUGGACAACCAGCGGCCCACGCCAGGAACGCCGCCGUCCCUAGUAGGCGGCCUGCUUUACCGGGGUUACGCGGACAAAUCCAUGACCGGGAGGUAAUGGAACGGGCAUUGUUUGUAUACACAGCUUAUGGUUAUUGUUUCUGUUUCUGUUUACGUUUACUUACCCGUGUCCUGUGUGUGCGGCGUCGGCUUACAUACACAGCUAUAUCUACAUGGACGGCUCGGAAUUCUGGGUGAUGGAGGCGUCGCUGGCCCGCACCACUCGAAACCUCCGGGUCACCUGCUCCGCUUCAGCACCUGCUACCAUCAC
rnacentral:lncRNA from 1 species